rnacentral:rRNA from 1 species
UACGAAGGGGGCUAGCGUUGCUCGGAAUCACUGGGCGUAAAGAGCUCGUAGGCGGUCUGUCACGUCGGCUGUGAAAACUCGGGGCUCAACCCCGAGCCUGCAGUCGAUACGGGCAGACUAGAGUCCGGCAGGGGAGACUGGAAUUCCUGGUGUAGCGGUGAAAUGCGCAGAUAUCAGGAGGAACACCAAUGGCGAAGGCAGCUCGCUGGGACGUGACUGACGCUGAGACGCGAAAGCGUGGGGAGCAAACAGG